UUUCUCUCAGUUUUAAGGCUUUCUUGUGCUUUGGAGGAAACAUGUUCUGACAUGCUGGAGAUGGUGGUGUUAAUAACCUCUAAAGGAGCUAAAUCUGGAGGUUUGAGUGAAAUAGCACUUUCAGAACCGUACUUUUUCUCACAACACGCUGAGGAAAGUGCAGAAGCUCUGUAUAUGCAUUUAUGAGAGGGAUUCAUGCCAUGCAUAUGACAAUUUGCAUACCAGACUCCGUGACAAAGAGGGACCGCAGGUGAAUCCCCAGCGAUCUGCUUUGUAGAGAGGAUUUUUCCAGCCCCUAAUCACAGAGAAGUAUCCAGCUCUCCAUCUGCUCCCCAGAGCUGGCUGUUUUGAUUUAAGUGAAAAUAACCAAGAAUAGAAAAUGGCACGUAACAGAGUCCCAAGCCAA